CAAAAUGGAUUCACAGAUCCAGGUCCUCAUGUCCCUACUGCUCUGGGUGUCUGGUGCCUGUGCAGACAUUGUUAUGACCCAGUCUCCAUCCUCCCUGGCUGUGUCAGUGGGAGAGAUGGUCACCAUCAGCUGCAAGUCCAGCCAAAGUCUUUAUUCAAGCUUCCUCCAGAAGAACGGCUUAUCCUGGUACCAGCAAAAGCCAGGGCAGUCUCCUAAACUGCUGAUCUACUUUGCAUCCACUCGGGACACUGGGGUCCCUGAUCGCUUCACAGGCAGUGGGUCUGGGACAGAUUUCACUCUCACCAUCAGCAGUGUCCAGGCUGAGGAUCUGGCAGAUUAUUACUGUCAGCAGUAUUAUAGUACUCCUCCCACAGUGCUUCAGCCUUCAACAAAAACCUUCUCUGAGAGUCUCAUCAGCUGCCUGCACCACACACAGCCCUGGACCUGCACACUUCCACUUCCCCCUUUUGACUGA